rnacentral:rRNA from 1 species
UGGGGAAUAUUGUGCAAUGGGGGAAACCCUGACACAGCGACGCCGCGCGAGUGAAGAAGGCCUUCGGGUCGUAAAGCCCACUAGUAUGGGAAGAUAGUGACGGUACCAUACGAAAGCCCCGGCUAACUACGUGCCAGCAGCCGCGGUAAUACGUAGGGGGCGAGCGUUGUCCGGAAUUACUGGGCGUAAAGAGCACGUAGGCGGCUAUAAAAGUCAGAUGUGAAAAACCUGGGCUCAACCGAGGGUAUGCAUCUGAAACUAAAUAGCUUGAGUCAAGGAGAGGGGAGCGGAAUUCCUGGUGUAGCGGUGAAAUGCGUAGAGAUCAGGAAGAAUACCAGGGGCGAAAGCGGCUCUCUGGACUUGAACUGACGCUGAGGUGCGAAAGCGUGGGGAGCAAACAGG